UACGUAGGGAGCAAGCGUUGUCCGGAAUCAUUGGGCGUAAAGCGCGCGUAGGUGGCUCUAUAAGUCCGUUGUGAAAGUCAAAGGCUCAACCUUUGAAAGCCGAUGGAUACUGUAGAGCUAGAGUACGGAAGAGGCGAGUGGAAUUCCUGGUGUAGCGGUGGAAUGCGCAGAUAUCAGGAGGAACACCGGUGGCGAAGGCGGUUCUCUGGGCAUUACCUGACGCUGAGGAGCGAAAGCAUGGGGAGCGAACAGG
rnacentral:rRNA from 1 species